CUCAGAUUGAACGCUGGCGGCAUGCUUUACACAUGCAAGUCGAACGGCAGCACGAAAGAGCUUGCUCUUUUGGUGGCGAGUGGCGAACGGGUGAGUAAUACAUUGGAACGUACCGAGUAAUGGGGGAUAACUGUCCGAAAGGAUGGCUAAUACCGCAUACGCUCUGAGGAGGAAAGCGGGGGACCUUCGGGCCUCGCGUUAUUCGAGCGGCCAAUGUCUGAUUAGCUAGUUGGUGGGGUAAAGGCCUACCAAGGCGACGAUCAGUAGUGGGUCUGAGAGGAUGAUCCGCCACACUGGGACUGAGACACGGCCCAGACUCCUACGGGAGGCAGCAGUGGGGAAUUUUGGAC
rnacentral:rRNA from 1 species